CCUACGGGAGGCAGCAGUGAGGAAUAUUGGUCAAUGGACGAGAGUCUGAACCAGCCAAGUAGCGUGAAGGAUGACUGCCCUAUGGGUUGUAAACUUCUUUUAUAUGGGAAUAAAAUGGUCCACGUGUGGGAUUUUGUAUGUACCAUAUGAAUAAGGAUCGGCUAACUCCGUGCCAGCAGCCGCGGUAAUACGGAGGAUCCGAGCGUUAUCCGGAUUUAUUGGGUUUAAAGGGAGCGUAGGUGGAUUGUUAAGUCAGUUGUGAAAGUUUGCGGCUCAACCGUAAAAUUGCAGUUGAAACUGGCAGUCUUGAGUACAGUAGAGGUAGGCGGAAUUCGUGGUGUAGCGGUGAAAUGCUUAGAUAUCACGAAGAACUCCGAUUGCGAAGGCAGUUCACUGGACUGCAACUGACACUGAGGCUCGAAAGUGUGGGUAUCAAACAGGAUUAGAUACCCUAGUAGUC
rnacentral:rRNA from 1 species